NNNNNNNNNNNNNNNNNNNNNNNNNNNNNNNNNNNNNNNNNNNNNNNNNNNNNNNNNNNNGAGCGGGUUUCUGACACCUCCAUAAAGACUUUGCUUAACCACCUCUCAAACCCCUCCAUCCACCUUUGCACGCUGUCUACACUCACUGACAACCAGUGCCUCAGACCACUGCAUGAAACAAAGCACAUGCUGCGUGCACAGAACAACACUGUGGGUUGUGCACCGUCUGACAUCACAAUGCCAAGGCUUGUAAUGCCACGGCGCAAAAGGGGGAUAAUGCCAAUGUAUUUCCAUGACGCAUCAUGUGCUGCACAACGCAGCACCAGAGCCACUGACGAGACACUGAAGCAAGCGUCAUGCCAGCAGCAAGAUGUGGCAAAACAUGGGCCAAGGCGAGCUAAACCCAGUCGCCGCCCACGAAGUAAAGAGACUGCCCUGUCCAACCAAAGACAACCCUCGCUUGUUUCUUCCUCCCCUUUUUGUCUCUCUCUCCCUGUUGUCUGUACCAGGAUGCUGCUGUGGUUCGCCAUGCUGUGCUGUCAGCCAACCAGAGGACGGCUGCCACCGAGAGAACAACUGAGACUCCUGACCACCGACUACAGACCACACUACCCCAGCACCGUAGCCCAAUACAGCUGGGCAGGUGCCCGAUGGACAGAGAACUCCCUCACUCACGCUGAGGCAGAUGUCAAACACGUGUUCAGCCAAUGUGAGAGAAUGACUGUUACACAAGUGGAGUUAGUUGGACACAACCACCACGCCAGACGGUUCCUGGGAGCUUUGCUCGGAGCCGCUGCUGCCGCCAGAACUCUGUUUAACAUUGGUAUGUCCAGUGUCAAUGCAGCGAACCAGGCCGUGAACUCCAUGAAACCGCUGUUUACUGCCUUCCAGAAUGACUUUGCCAAGACUCAGCUGGUUACAGCGCUAACGACAGACAUGCUGUGGGAGGUUAACUCCUCCGAUGACAGCCUAACCACGGGUAGAAUCCCACCUUACAUGAUACCCUUAAGCCUUGUGCUAACUGUGCUGGCUUCCGCUAUCACCACGCCAGCUGACCCGCUACAAAUACACCUGGCCUACUCUCUGGGUAGCGCCAUCCUACUGCACGUCAAUCCCGAGCAGAGGGAAGUGGAUGUGCUCCUGAACCAACCCAUCAGUGAGUCAAGCCAAGUCUACAGACUUAAAGACAUUGUCAAUGUCAGGUUUUGGAAAAGCAACACCCACACCAAGACACACAUUCCAGAUGUGGUGGCCUACCACGACAGCGACACACAGCUGUACCUGGCCCCAAACCUGCACAUGUGUACUUUGACCAAAGACAUUCAUUAUCUCUGCCUUAGCAAACCCUUCCUCAGAAACAACACUGAAGGAAUCUGCGGGUUGCAAACCCUGGUCAGCGACACACACUGCCCUGCCGAAUCCAAGCCUCGUACACAAGUCACAGAGACGCAAGCAGAGAUUGUAGGUGACAGAUGGCUCGUCAACACUCCCGUGCGUACAGCUACUCUCACUUACGACCAGCAUGACACAACCAGCCGUGUCAACGUGCCCAACCCGAAUAGGGGGAUUCAAGUACCGAAAGGUGCCACGCCCUACCUUCACGACCUGGCCUUAUACCAUUUUCCGAGUGAAGAGUACCAGACAGCACUGGAACUCCCAUCCUUCAAGAAUUACAACUUCAUCUUAGAUCCAGAACUGGAACUCUGGAUUGAGGAAAGGGGGUCCCGACACAUUGACAUUGCUCCCGUCGACACAGCCCUCCAAGCACUGUCUCGACGGCCUGUUCUGAACCCGUCAUCUGCGGUCCGAGCCUGGACCGGUGCCAACAUUGCGCUGUGCAUCUCUACAGGUAAUCAGCCAGACCCCGACACUAGGUUUGGCCUCCAUUCUGUGCAGAAGACUCAACGAGAUGCGAUACGGCCAAGCUCACGAAAGCUGUGUCCGAAGGUCUCAGACGGAAUCCCCGGAAAGGGGGUGCCAAGUCCGAGCCCACACCGAACAUCAUCAAGCUGAAUCCUCAGCUCCAGGAUCCACCUGCUACAGGACCAUCAUGAUUCACCUGUCAUCUGCCCAUCGUGAUGAUUGCCGUCCGAUGAUGUCCACACAGGGACUUCAUCCGACGGAAAGGGGGACUGUAGCGUAUGAGCAGUUCAUUCAUUCAUUGGUUCUGAAUUAAUGAAUCAUGGCUCGUUGAAUCUAAAAUAAUGCACAUUCCUUGGUUAAAACCCAAAGCUUUUAGCCACUGAACUCAUGCAGGUAAAUCAACCUCUCUGCAAGCCGAAUGACCGGCCUGGUGCCAGCAUGGAUGGGUUUAAAUUCCUGACCAGGUUAUAAAACUUUAUGACCCAACUGGGAGAAACAGAAAAGCCCAGCUCGCUAGGAAUUCUUGUAAGGAAAAAGGAAAGUAAAUAUAUUCUAAAUGUAUUGACUGUAUUUCCUUUUUGUGCUUAGAUGUCUUCCAUAUCAAAUUGGAGUAUUUGCAAUAUUUUAUCGUCUGUUAAUCAAACUUUAAAUGUGUGUAAUUCUGCAUAUGAAUGUAACUUUAUGUUUCUCCUACCUUUACAUGUCAUUCUUGGUAUCUGUUUAAACGUCUUGCUUUGACCGAACCACUCAUACAUAUGAAAUUACAGUAAAAUGUAUUAUUCUGCUCGCCCCGGAAGACACGAGAGAACAC
ensembl:lncRNA